rnacentral:rRNA from 1 species
AGCGAACAGAAAAGGAGCUUGCUCCUUUGACGUUAGCGGCGGACGGGUGAGUAACACGUGGGCAACCUACCCUAUAGUUUGGGAUAACUCCGGGAAACCGGGGCUAAUACCGAAUAAUCUCUUUUGCUUCAUGGUGAAAGACUGAAAGACGGUUUCGGCUGUCGCUAUAGGAUGGGCCCGCGGCGCAUUAGCUAGUUGGUGAGGUAACGGCUCACCAAGGCGACGAUGCGUAGCCGACCUGAGAGGGUGAUCGGCCACACUGGGACUGAGACACGGCCCAGACUCCUACGGGAGGCAGCAGUAGGGAAUCUUCCACAAUGGGCGAAAGCCUGAUGGAGCAACGCCGCGUGAGUGAAGAAGGUUUUCGGAUCGUAAAACUCUGUUGUAAGGGAAGAACAAGUACAGUAGUAACUGGCUGUACCUUGACGGUACCUUAUUAGAAAGCCACGGCUAACUACGUGCCAGCAGCCGCGGUAAUACGUAGGUGGCAAGCGUUGUCCGGAAUUAUUGGGCGUAAAGCGCGCGCAGGCGGUCCUUUAAGUCUGAUGUGAAAGCCCACGGCUCAACCGUGGAGGGUCAUUGGAAACUGGGGGACUUGAGUGCAGAAGAGGAAAGUGGAAUUCCAAGUGUAGCGGUGAAAUGCGUAGAGAUUUGGAGGAACACCAGUGGCGAAGGCGACUUUCUGGUCUGUAACUGACGCUGAGGCGCGAAAGCGUGGGGAGCAAACAGGAUUAGAUACCCUG